rnacentral:rRNA from 1 species
GUAACGAGCGCAACCCUUGUCCUUAGUUACCAGCACGUUAUGGUGGGCACUCUAAGAGACUGCCGGUGACAACCGAGGAAGGUGGGGAUGACGUCAAGUCAUCAUGGCCCUUACGGCCUGGGCUACACACGUGCUACAAUGGUCGGUACAAAGGGUUGCCAAGCCGCGAGGUGGAGCUAAUCCCAUAAAACCGAUCGUAGUCCGGAUCGCAGUCUGCAACUCGACUGCGUGAAGUCGGAAUCGCUAGUAAUCGUGAAUCAGAAUGUCACGGUGAAUACGUUCCCGGGCCUU